CCUACGGGUGGCAGCAGUGGGGAAUAUUGCACAAUGGGGGAAACCCUGAUGCAGCGACGCCGCGUGAGCGAAGAAGUAAUUCGUUAUGUAAAGCUCUAUCAGCAGGGAAGAAAAUGACGGUACCUGAGUAAGAAGCCCCGGCUAACUACGUGCCAGCAGCCGCGGUAAUACGUAGGGGGCAAGCGUUAUCCGGAUUUACUGGGGGUAAAGUGAGCGUAGACGGCAGUGCAAGUCUGGAGUGAAAGGCGGGAGCUCAACCCCAGGACUGCUCUGGAAACUGUACGGCUGGAGUGCAGGAGAGGUAAGUGGAAUUCCUGGUGUAGCGGUGAAAUGCGUAGAGAUUAGGAGGAACACCAGUGGCGAAGGCGGCUUACUGGACUGUAACUGACGUUGAGGCUCGAAAGCGUGGGGAGCAAACAGGAUUAGAUACCCUUGUAGUC
rnacentral:rRNA from 1 species